CCUACGGGAGGCUGCAGUGAGGAAUAUUGGUCAAUGGACGCAAGUCUGAACCAGCCAUGCCGCGUGCAGGAAGACGGCUCUAUGAGUUGUAAACUGCAUUUGCACGAGGGUAAACGCAGAUACGCGUAUCUGUCUGACAGUAUCGUACGAAUAAGGAUCGGCUAACUAUGUGCCAGCAGCCGCGGUAAUACGGAGGAUCCAAGCGUUAUCCGGAUUUAUUGGGUUUAAAGGGUGCGUAGGCGGUCGGAUAAGUUAGAGGUGAAAUCCCGAGGCUCAACUUCGGAAGUGCAUUUGAUACUGUUCGGCUAGAGAGUAGUUGCGGUAAGCGGAAGGUAUGGUGUAGCGGUGAAAUGCUUAGAGAUCAUACAGAACACCGAUUGCGAAGGCAGCUUACCGGGCUACUUCUGACGUUGAGGCACAAAAGCGUGGGGAGCAAACAGGAUUAGAUACCCGUGUAGUC
rnacentral:rRNA from 1 species